AGGACAACUCUCUGAUCAUGAAGUGAUUUUGUGUGUUGAUGUCAUUUUCUUGAAUCAUCCACCAUACUUACGCUGGGUCCGCAUGGGGCAAAUAGGUGUCGGGUGGAAUUGGGGCUCAGAGUGGCCCACUAGCCCAGCUUCUUAUUUGGGACAAGAAUGGUGAUGUCUUUGAAGACUUUGAAUGAGGUAGACCCCAGGUCUGACCAUGCUGCCAUCUUUUCCUUCUGCCAGAUUCUCCUUGCCUCUACCACUCUCUUCCCACCCAAACACGCCUGGGCUGCUCAGCAAAUCCUAUGCUAAAGUGAAGACUGUUGAAAUGUCCUGGCCUCUGUGAAACCUGCCCUGACCACUCACCUACAGCCUCUCAUCCCUGAAUCACCCUCGGUUGCUACAAUGCUGUUUUCAUAUCUACCUUCCUAACUAGAGUGAAGACACAAAUGAGCUCUGUGUCUUCAGUGCCCAGGACAGUGCCUGGCACACAGCUGAUGCUCAAUAAACUGUCGGACACAGAGCUGUCAUCUCUUUUGUCCUUCCAUGAUGAGAAAGCCCAGCUUUUGAAAAGUCAUCAUUUUCCAAGUGCUUAACCCAGAAUCCAAACUGCAGUAGGUACGAGGGAAUUCAGUCAGUUACUCAUCCCGCUGAUCACACAUGCAUUUCCCAUCCUUCAACUGGCAGGCUAAGAACAAAGCUCACCCAAAUUCACGGAAGUGGAGAAAAACGUCCCAUAAGACGACUUUCUGAGCAUCAGAGCUGGCGGAUUAUGGUUUCAAAGCCUCCGGCAAGACAAGUUCCCUGCUCGCACUUCUGUUUCUGACGUGAAACUCGUACUCUUUCAAAAAAUGUUUAUUUUUUUAAUAUAAAAGUACUCCAUGCUCAUUAAAGAAAAUUUGCAAAAUAGAGAAAAGCAGAAAAGGACAAAACAGUUUUCAAUCAGAGUCUCAUUAUGUAAAUAGUGAGUCUGUAACAUUCUGGAGUAUGAGUUACUCUCUUACUUAUGGAAUUUAAUAAAAACCAGACAACAGCUCGUGCUGUCUGCUAAAAUCAGAGCCAGCUUCCACAGAAAAUACAUCGUGAGCUUCAUAGUUGGUCCCUGCAGCACACACUUGGGGAGCGCCCGUCGGCACACCCUGGUAGGCGACGCUGGGAGGGGUGAUGAGCUGGCGGAAAGCGGAAUUAGCACGGUUGGGAACCGCGGCUCCAGCCCAGGGAGCUUUGGACAUUGCGGACCACUCUUCUGCUCUUCAUAUCACCCUGACAACCUCAGGCUGCAGUCCCUUCCAGCUCCCACUCAAGCAAUUACUGUCAAUCCUCGCAGGCUGCCGGGGUGGGCACACGGCCCUUCGUAAAAACUAGAGGGCCUCCCCACAGCCCCAUGACCUUCACCACUUGGUUCCUUGACUGAACCUGCCUGGAGCUGCCAUAAUACCUGAACUCUACCAUCCAGCCCUUGGACCCUUCGUGACAACCCCAGCAUUGUCACUUGUUAGUGUAAUGGGACAAACAGCUCACCAGAACUGAAAGGUCACGGCAAAAAGAUGACACCGAAUUGAAGUAAAUAACAGACAGAGGCAGCUGUCAGAUGGAGGUGAGCAACCGUCAGGAUGCCCUCGUGUGCCCAGACCGACCAGCCCGGAGAAAAGUGUACACCGACUUCUUGACACUGGAAUGGAUUUUUACCUGUGCACAGAUACUGUCUGUAUUUAAUGUAAAAGGCAUUUCUGUGCCCAGAGUAUGAAUCAGCACUGUGACUAAACAAGGUUUCCUGUUCUCUUUCCAGGCACCAGGUUAGUUGCUGGGGACACAAAGAUCCACAUGGCAACCCAGCCCGGGAGACACCACGCCCCUCCACGGAGGGAAGGGAACCUAGCGUGUCGAGUGCUUACUCUGUGUGGCAUUGUGCUAGGUGUUGUUUAAAAUUAGCACAUUGAAUCUCAACAAGGUGUGAGACACAUAGCCUGAUUUCUCAUUUUAUGGUGGAAGAAACUGAGGUUCAGCCAUCUAUUUAUUUCCUUGACUCACACAGCUGGAAUUCUGAACAAAAACUCAAACCUACAUCCAGCAUGAAGGUCUCACUCGCCGUCCAGAAGGUAGGAGCAGAAUAGGGGUGGAUGGCUUUGCUUUCUCUCUGUCUAUUAAUAUUAACGAGGGCACCUUUUACAGUGAAAAACCAUAAAGAAAGCUCAUUAAGGGCAGCGACACCCCCAGCACACAACUCUCCCUAGAACCACAAAAUGGGCCUGUUACAGAGGCCUGGGAGCUAAUUCUCUCCAGAUGUUUGCAAAGCGAGCAGGACCAGAAGGUGGGAGCCGAAAUUACUGAACACUCCAUAAGGCGCUGAUGGAGCAGGGCCCCAGGCUUGGCUCAGCAACAAGUGAACACAGAGACCCUGUUUGUUCAGAGGAACUUCAAAGCCCCCAUAAACUCCCAGGAAAGGUGAGAGACAACAACGCCACAGAGCCCAGCGUUCCUGCAAAGUCAGACUGGAGAUGAACUUGAGACGCUGCCCCUGGAGCUUAAGAAGAUGACAGAGGGGCAGGUCUGGUGAGCAGAUGUCUGCCUUUUGUUUAUGCCCAUUCUUAUACACAUGCGACAAACAGCAUGGAGUUACUGCUAAAAUUAUAACUAAAGAGGAGGAAGAAAGACUAAUUAAUCAAGUGUGGUAUCAGUCGAAAGUUCGAUAUGUUAUCUCUUUGGUCACCAGACUCCUGGCAGGAGAAAGGCUUCCAGGAUCCAGUGUGGGUGUUUUUUCCAUUGCUAAUCACCGUGACCUGCCAGACCACAGCUGCAAGGUUAAAAGAACCCUCACCUUCGCAGAUGCCAGGUAUCCCCCUGCAGAGGCUGUUGAAAGGCAGGCCAAGAUAGUCUUGCAACACCCACCACCCCAGUCAACCCACGUCAGAAAAGAAAUGCAGAGGCAACAGGAGGCAGGCACUGCUCAAGAGGCUGGAGAUGGAGCGGUGUAGCACAGGUCUGCAGGAAUUCGCUGGCUCUUCAGAGCAGGGCCCUAACCGUGGCUUCGGUAGUGCUGGCUGCUGGUUCCAAGCUAACAGAACAGCCACUCUUGGACCAUUGCUGUGGCAGAAGGAGAGAAAGAGCAUGAAGGAUCAUACACCAGCCCUUAAAGCUUCCAUGCCAAAGCAGCAUACUUCACCUCGACUCACAGUUCAUCAGCCAAAGCAAGUCACUGGGCUUCCCUGAUUCCAACGUAGCAAGGAAAUACAACCCUACCAUGUGCCCAGAAGAAGAACCAGAAAUACAGACGAACAGUCCUGGAACAGCAGCAGCGACUCAGUCAUCAUCUGAGACCUUCCCAGCCACGCUGUGAAAAAGAGCCAGCCUCCCCACCACCUCCCGCUUCCUAUCCCACUUACUGGCUUCAUUUCUCUCUUCAGGACCUUUCACUAUCUGCACACUCUAUACGUCGCUUGUUUAUCUUGUUUACGUCAUUCUCCAUUAGAAUGUAGACUCGAAGGGCAAAGAGAUUUUCCCUGUUUGAUUCAGUACUGUGUUCCCAGUGCCUAGAAUUGUCACUGCUACAUAGAGGCUUUAGACAAAAAUGUGCUGAACAGACGAGCGAAUGACAAGAAGGAUACAAUUAGUGAUCCACGUGAGAAAUACGAUGAUCUUGGGAUUUGGCUUAACCAGGUUUGGUACCACCCGAUUCCUCGACAAAUUUGAGUAUGCAUCUACUGUAUGCAAGGCUGUAUGCAUCAAGGAGAACAUCCCCAUCCUUGAACAUACCAGAUACAGGGGGAGUUAGCACCUUUCUUACUUUACACCGUUUCUGCCAAUGGAGGGCAAGGAGCUUCUUGACUUUUGUGGAAACAAGAGUAACAAUCGUCUUGUUUUCAGCUAAGAUCUGGCUGCAAUCAAGCUUUCUUGUCCAGAAAUACUAGCAAGUCUCAUAGGUGACAAGCACGCUGCCUAAUUUCUCCUGCCUGCUCCAUUUGCAUUUCAUCACAUGUGCAGACCCUCCGUAAACAAAACUCGCAGCAUCUUAUUCUGAAAAGUUGUCAUCAGCCUCUGUGCAUCAUGGUCUUCCUAAAUGAAACAAAUAAGGCAUUUCUCAUUUGUAAUUAAAUAAUUCCUUAGAAGGCUCUGCCUUCUACCAAAGAUUCACGGGGAAUCCAUUUUCACACAGCGAUAAUUAUACUCAGCACUGAGGGUAGACACUGUGGUGUGGGCUGUGGAUAUUUAUCAGCUCAUCAGAAGCAAAUCAUAAAGGAACUUAGUACGGAAGCUAAAAACAGAUCUUAGUUAGUAGGAAACGAAGUUAAGAUGUUAAUGCUGAAUCCCAGGCUAGAUUGCUUCCCCACUUAGGGAUAUUAUUGCUGAGUCAAUUAUUUCCACCAAGAUUUUUUUUUUGCAAGGACCACAUCCAGUUGUGUAAAAUAUUUGAGGGAGCAGUAAGUACAUUUGCGUAUGAUAUGCACAUCAUUUGUAUAGGAUCACAUACCAUCUUCAGGAAAAUUCUAAGUGAAAAUGAAACUAGUUAUAUUUUCUCUUAUUAUGCAUUCCUUAGCGUCUGUGCCCCAGUCUUCCAGGUUCCCCACUGCCUACAGGAGAAAAUGCAGUGUCCUCUGCCUGGUGCCCAGUCCACCUGUCCUACCAUCCCUUUCCUGUUCCCUACGUCCUCUUAUGCACCAGUCACACACAAUCACACACUGUUUUCCACCACGCUGUGAGAGGUCACUCAGUUGACUGUCCACGAGCCACUUUCUCACUUUCUUCUUUGCUAGCCGAACCAUAACCGUCUCCCUUCUGGCGUUUGUGCUCUGUAUGCUCAGGGGCCUCACCGAGCUCCAGGGCGUGGGCUUUGACUCGUCCACAGCCAGCCUGGCGGAUCCACGCCCCUGGGAAGUGACUGGUUUCGGCACGGUCAUGUGCUGCAGUCCUGGCCAAUGAGAAGUAAAGGGAAGCUGUUAGGAGAUUUCUUGGAAAGUUUCCUGAGUCUUAAAAGAGGACACAGAAAAGACAGAGACUCACCUCUUUUCUGCUUCUGGACGGGGCUACGGAAGGAGGCGAUGCCUGGGAGAGCUUCAACAAUAUGACCAUGAGAGUGGAGGGUGCUCAUGAGACAGCAGAGCAGAAAGAUGGAAGGAACCUGGGAUGUGGAAGAGGUCAUCGUGUCCCGGCUUAAGCAAUCAUAAGAACAACUUUACGACUUCAGUGCCAGGCACUGUCAUGAGCGUUUUAUGUACAUUAACUUAUUCGGUCCUCACAACUGUCAUAUGCAGUGGAUGUUCUUGUUAUUUCCAUUUUACGGUUGAGCAAACUGAAGCAGAGAGGGUUGAAGUGUCAAAGUCACUCUCCUUCUUUGUUUUUUCAGCGUUUUAUUAUAGAAAACUUAAAGGAUAUACUAAAGUAGAGAGUAGCAUAAUGAAUCCCACGCACACAUCAGUCACCCAGUUUAAAUAAUUAUCCAGGGGCCAGCAGGGUGGCCCAGGCAAUGAGUUUGUGUGCUCCAUUUCUGUGGCCCAGUGUUUCACCGGUUCGAAUCCUGGGCGUGGACCUAGCACCGCUCAU